UCGGGGUACACGAGCGGCGAACGGGUGAGUAACACGUGGGUGAUCUGCCCUGCACUUCGGGAUAAGCCUGGGAAACUGGGUCUAAUACCGGAUAUGACCUUCGGCUGCAUGGCUGAGGGUGGAAGGUUUACUGGUGCAGGAUGGGCCCGCGGCCUAUCAGCUUGUUGGUGGGGUAAUGGCCUACCAAGGCGACGACGGGUAGCCGACCUGAGAGGGUGACCGGCCACACUGGGACUGAGACACGGCCCAGACUCCUACGGGAGGCAGCAGUGGGGAAUAUUGCACAAUGGGCGAAAGCCUGAUGCAGCGACGCCGCGUGAGGGAUGACGGCCUUCGGGUUGUAAACCUCUUUCAGCAGGGACGAAGCGAAAGUGACGGUACCUGCAGAAGAAGCACCGGCCAACUACGUGCCAGCAGCCGCGGUAAUACGUAGGGUGCAAGCGUUGUCCGGAAUUACUGGGCGUAAAGAGCUCGUAGGCGGUUUGUCGCGUCGUCU
rnacentral:rRNA from 1 species